UACGAGGGGGCUAGCGUUGCUCGGAAUCACUGGGCGUAAAGCGCACGUAGGCGGCUUCUUAAGUCAGGGGUGAAAUCCUGGAGCUCAACUCCAGAACUGCCCUUGAUACUGAGGAGCUCGAGUCCGGAAGAGGUGAGUGGAACUCCGAGUGUAGAGGUGAAAUUCGUAGAUAUUCGGAAGAACACCAGUGGCGAAGGCGGCUCACUGGUCCGGUACUGACGCUGAGGUGCGAAAGCGUGGGGAGCAAACAGG
rnacentral:rRNA from 1 species